CUAGUUUCGUCUGUCGUCUGUCAACAAAUAAACACCAGUUUGGGGUUAUGUCGUCGGCGGCGUUAAAUAUCUGUAAAAUCGGCCGGUUUAACUUUAUUAUGUGAAACGAAGUGCUAUUAUGAAUAAAUAUGUAGUUGUGGAUGUGUUUGUGUACUUCACUGUGAAUAAAAAUAAGCCUACGUUCUUUGGCCCAUAGCCCAAGCUAUGGCCAACACAUAGGCCUCGGAGUAGGCUAUCGUGGUUAAAAAUCUGGUAUUAGGUUUUUCAAUGCCCUCCCUGGUAUUGUCCGUUCCCAGAGGAGAUCAAAAUUUGUAUCCAUUGUGAAAAAUUGGCUUGAGUUGAACCCAUAUUACAAAUUUGAUGAAUUUUUUGAUGCCAUGAAGGCUGCACAAAACUUAAAUACUUAUUAAGUCAUGUCAUGUAAGUCUACUGAAAGAUAGUAAAUCAAGUGUAUGAUAGUUACCUCAAUGGACAAAAGUGUUUGAGGAGCCUGACGUGGGGCAGGAUCCAGCUGCGUUAAAUCUCAUGCUACGUUUUUGAUUGGCAGACACCAGCACACCACUGUGAUAUUCCUGCAACAAGGAUCAUUAAGUGGUUUAAAGUUUUAAAAGGAUUAAGACAAUUACAAUUAAUUAUAUACGUUUCUUGUGAAAUCAACCAAGUCUAGAAUAUCUAUCAUUUGAUCUUAUUUAAUUGUUAGUUUAUUUUUCCAAUUUAUACAUCGGUUAUUUACGUACAAUUGCAUGUUUACUGUUUUUUACUGUAUUUUUAUCGGCUAAAUGAUCAGUUGCUCGGUAACUGUGGACGAGUGAGUGCGUGUUGUGCAAUAUAUUAACAGUGGUUCUGUAUCAAAAAUAGUAAAACAAUGAAUCUGUUACGUGUUGUUGCAAUGUGGUGCAGAAUUAGGCAGCGUAGGAUUGAGCGGAAGUACUGGAUUCACCCAAUUAAUCAAUUUAUUAAUUGAUUA